UACGGAGGGAGCUAGCGUUGUUCGGAAUUACUGGGCGUAAAGCGUACGUAGGCGGCUAUUCAAGUCAGAGGUGAAAGCCCGGGGCUCAACCCCGGAACUGCCCUUGAAACUAGGUAGCUAGAGUCUUGGAGAGGUUAGUGGAAUUCCGAGUGUAGAGGUGAAAUUCGUAGAUAUUCGGAAGAACACCAGUGGCGAAGGCGACUAACUGGACAAGUACUGACGCUGAGGCACGAAAGCGUGGGGAGCAAACAGG
rnacentral:rRNA from 1 species